GGGCCUACGGGAGGCAGCAGUGGGGAAUAUUGCGCAAUGGGCGAAAGCCUGACGCAGCGACGCCGCGUGAGGGAUGAAGGCCUUCGGGUCGUAAACCUCUGUCAGGAGGGAAGAACCGCCAUGGUGCUAAUCAGCCGUGGU
rnacentral:rRNA from 1 species